rnacentral:rRNA from 1 species
AGAGUUUGAUCAUGGCUCAGAUUGAACGCUGGCGGCAGGCCUAACACAUGCAAGUCGAGCGGUAACAUUUCAAAAGCUUGCUUUUGAAGAUGACGAGCGGCGGACGGGUGAGUAAUGCCUAGGAAAUUGCCCUGAUGUGGGGGAUAACCAUUGGAAACGAUGGCUAAUACCGCAUGAUGCCUACGGGCCAAAGAGGGGGACCUUCGGGCCUCUCGCGUCAGGAUAUGCCUAGGUGGGAUUAGCUAGUUGGUGAGGUAAUGGCUCACCAAGGCGACGAUCCCUAGCUGGUCUGAGAGGAUGAUCAGCCACACUGGAACUGAGACACGGUCCAGACUCCUACGGGAGGCAGCAGUGGGGAAUAUUGCACAAUGGGCGCAAGCCUGAUGCAGCCAUGCCGCGUGUAUGAAGAAGGCCUUCGGGUUGUAAAGUACUUUCAGUCGUGAGGAAGGUGGUGUUGUUAAUAGCAGCAUCAUUUGACGUUAGCGACAGAAGAAGCACCGGCUAACUCCGUGCCAGCAGCCGCGGUAAUACGGAGGGUGCGAGCGUUAAUCGGAAUUACUGGGCGUAAAGCGCAUGCAGGUGGUUCGUUAAGUCAGAUGUGAAAGCCCGGGGCUCAACCUCGGAACUGCAUUUGAAACUGGCGGACUAGAGUACUGUAGAGGGGGGUAGAAUUUCAGGUGUAGCGUGUGAAUGCGUAAAGAUCUUAAGGAAUACCGGUGGCGAAGGCGGGCCCCUGGACGGAUACUUGACACUUCGAUGCGAAAGCGUGGGGAGGCAACCAGGAUUAGAUCCCCUUGGUUGUCCCCCCCGUAAACCAAUGGUUUUCUUGGAGGGUGGGGGCCUUUGGGCCGGGGGUUUUCGGAAUCUUAACGCGUUUAGUUAUCCCCCCCCCGGGGAGGACCCGUCCCCAAGAUUUAAAACUUCCAAAUUUAUUUUGACCGGGGGCCCCGCCCCAAGCGUGUGUGGAUCUUGGUGUUUUUUUUUUCUUAUGUCACCCCGCAAAAAAACCUUUUUCCCUCUCUUUUUUGUAAUUUUCCCAAAUUAUAUUCCCCGCGGGAAAAACGCCCGGGGGGGGGGUUUUUUUCGGGGAGGAAUUUUUCUUAAAAAACGGGUGGGUGUUUUCUAUGGGGUGUUUUUCUUUUUUCUUCUUCUUUUCCUGUUUUUUUGUGGGAAAAAAUUUUGUUUGUUGGGUG